rnacentral:rRNA from 1 species
AUACGGAGGGUGCAAGCGUUACUCGGAAUCACUGGGCGUAAAGCGCGCGCAGGCGGCUAUUUAAGUUGGAUGUGAAAGCCUACGGCUCAACCGUAGAACUGCAUCCAAAACUAUUUAGCUAGAGUGUGGGAGAGGAAGAUGGAAUUAGUUGUGUAGGGGUAAAAUCCGUAGAGAUAACUAGGAAUACCAAAAGCGAAGGCAAUUUUCUGGAACACUACUGACGCUGAGGCGCGAAAGCGUGGGGAGCAAACAGGAUUAGAUACCCUAGUAGUCC